UGGUGAUAUAUGUCACAGUAAAGUUUCUUAAGGCGCUGAAAUUAAAGUGUUAGUGGUUGGGAAAGAUGUAAUUGAAUAAAACGGACAGCUCAAGGGAGUUUUCCUUAUCGGAUAACAUUUCAGCUGAAGACAUUGUAUGAAAAACGUAUUAUUAUAAAUAGCAAAUUACAAAUAAAUACAAAUAAUGAUUUGUUUAUGAUUAAAGAUGGCAUACAAAAUAAAAUAUUAAUGUAAAAAAUAUUUUUUCGCCAAUAAAAGAUUUUAAAAUA